AAAAGACUUAGUCCUAACCUUACCGUUAAUUUUUGCUAAAUAUAUACAUGCAAGUAUCUGCGCCCCAGUGUAAAUGCCCUUGAUCUCUUACUAAGAAGAAAGGAGCGGGUAUCAGGCACACCUAAACUGUAGCCCAAGACGCCUUGCUCAGCCACACCCUCACGGGUAUUCAGCAGUAAUUAACAUUAAGCAAUAAGUGAAAACUUGACUUAGUUAUAGCAACACCAGGGUUGGUAAAUCUUGUGCCAGCCACCGCGGUCACACAAGAGACCCAAAUUAACUGUAUACGGCGUAAAGAGUGGUAUCAUGUUAUCUCAACAACUAAGACCAAAGUGCAACUAAGCUGUCAUAAGCUCAAGAUGUACCUAAGACCUCCCUUAAAACGAUCUUAGCGCUUUUGAUCAAUUUAAUUCCACGAAAGCUAAGACACAAACUGGGAUUAGAUACCCCACUAUGCUUAGCCCUAAAUCUUGAUGCUCUUUCCCCCAUACCUAGAGCGUCCGCCUGAGAACUACGAGCACAAACGCUUAAAACUCUAAGGACUUGGCGGUGCCCUAAACCCACCUAGAGGAGCCUGUUCUGUAAUCGAUAACCCACGUUACACCCGACCGCCUCUUGCCAAAACAGCCUACAUACCGCCGUCGCCAGCUCACCUCCCCUGAGAGCCCAACAGUGAGCACAACAGCCUAAACCCGCUAAUAAGACAGGUCGAGGUAUAGCCUACGAGGCGGAAGAAAUGGGCUACAUUUUCUAAAAUAGAAAACUUACGGAAGGGGGUAUGAAAUUGGCCCCCCGAAGGCGGAUUUAGUAGUAAAGUGGGACAAUAUAAGCCUUCUUUAAAUCGGCCCUGGGGCACGUACAUACCGCCCGUCACCCUCCUCAUAAGCUACCCACCCUACAAUACCUAAUACAACUCCAAGCUGAAGAUGAGGUAAGUCGUAACAAGGUAAGUGUACCGGAAGGUGCACUUAGCAUACC
rnacentral:rRNA from 1 species